GCCCCAGGGCCCAGCCCUGUUCCUGCUCCGGCUCCUGCGGGGAUGGAUGCUUCACGCAGUAAGCGAGUAAGCGAGCCCUGGAGACCGGGGCCCUGGGUGUGCGGUCGGCUCAGUGCCACGCGGUGAGAUAGGCAUGGUUAUCAACCCACGCCAAGGCGGUUGUGUACCUGGCAUAGAAAACACUGCUGUUGAAUGUUGUUUCCAUAGUCAUUCGCCAGCGUCCACUGAUGAGAGGUGCCACCACGGACACCCGGCCUUGCUCCGUCGAAGCUUUGGUCCAUUAGGACCAAAGUCAGGCCCCAGCGGGCCUCCCUGCCAUUCCUGGACGGCCUCGCGUCCUCCCAGAGCCUGACCUUCUCUUAUCUCUGCAGCCUAAGUCGCGGAAGCGUAGACACCCGGCUUUUCCCGCGUGCUCUAUCGGGCUCCCCUGGACACGGAGGGUGGAGCAGAAAGAGCAGAGGGGCCGGUGGGAGCCAUGGGGAGUCCGCCUAGCUCCAGAGGACACCUUACCUGGAUCCGCCUUUGUAGCCUCCUCCUGGCUCUGGGGGCUGUCCUGUGGGGUCCGAGUAGCUGAAAGACAGCCCCUCCAUGUGAGGAAGCCCCCAACUGGGGAAAACCCCCUCGUGGACUCAUUCCUGUCCCUGCAUGUGGCCUUCACCUGACUGUCUGCAUUGAGGCAUCCUCUGCCAAGAGCAAUUUCAAAGUGGCAGAAGCUGACAAGUACCUGCCGGAAAAACUGCCUCUUUUCCCUCCCGUGCUUGGAGCAGGCAUUGCUGACAGAUCACAGCUGCUGGGCCCAAAGGUCCCUUUGCACGCGGGACUUCAGGAAGUUGCUGCUGACCUAUGGGAGUUGGUGCAGAAAGAUGAAAUUUGUUAUCCUUGGCUGUAUCAACUCUCUCUCCUCUCCUUGGUGGUGAUAGUUUUGUUCUUAAAAGCCUCUUGUGAGAGAAUUUGUGGAUGAAGAACCUGUAAGAUCACAAGUGAAACAAUUUAUUGAUGUCAAUAGAUUUAUACACGUUCAUUAAGAAUCAAAACUAAACUAAAACAUCAGUCUGACUAAAGAGACCACCACAGAUAUUUCAUAUGCUGUACAUCAGUAACAAAGGGUACCAAAUAGUUAAUAUCCAUGUACUAGUCACAUGAGAAAUGUUUUAGGGUCAUUGACCAGUGUAGUCAGUACAGUGGUCCCAUGGUAUUUGUGGGGGAUUGGUUCCAGGAAUCUCUUGGACACCAACUCCGUGGAUGAUCAGACAAUAUAAAAUGUGGGUCAGGUGCGGUGGCUCAUACCUGUAAUCCCAGCAUUUUGCGAGAAUCACUUGAGGCCAGUUCAAGAUCAGCCUGUGCAACAUAGCAAGACUCCACCUCUAAAAAAAAAAAAAAAAAAAAAAA
ensembl:lncRNA novel transcript